GACGAACGCUGGCGGCGUGCCUAAUACAUGCAAGUCGAGCGGUUGAAAGAGGAGCUUGCUCCUCUAGAUUCAGCGGCGGACGGGUGAGUAACACGUGGGCAACCUGCCCUGUAGAUUGGGAUAACUCCGGGAAACCGGGGCUAAUACCGAAUAAUCCUUCGGACCUCAUGGUCCGAUGUUGAAAGACGGUUUCGGCUGUCACUACAGGAUGGGCCCGCGGCGCAUUAGCUAGUUGGUGAGGUAACGGCUCACCAAGGCCACGAUGCGUAGCCGACCUGAGAGGGUGAUCGGCCACACUGGGACUGAGACACGGCCCAGACUCCUACGGGAGGCAGCAGUAGGGAAUCUUCCACAAUGGACGAAAGUCUGAUGGAGCAACGCCGCGUGAGUGAAGAAGGUUCUCGGAUCGUAAAACUCUGUUGUGAGGGAAGAACAAGUACCGGAGUAACUGCCGGUGCCUUGACGGUACCUCAUUAGAAAGCCACGGCUAACUACGUGCCAGCCGCCGCAGUAA
rnacentral:rRNA from 1 species